rnacentral:rRNA from 1 species
GACGAACGCUGGCGGCGUGCCUAAUACAUGCAAGUCGAGCGGAUCUCUUCGGAGAUCAGCGGCGGACGGGUGAGUAACACGUGGGCAACCUGCCUGUAAGACUGGGAUAACUCCGGGAAACCGGGGCUAAUACCGGAUAACCCUUCGGACCUCAUGGUCCGGAGCUGAAAGACGGUUAUGCUGUCCCUUACAGAUGGGCCCGCGGCGGAGUAGCUAGUUGGUGAGGCAACGGCUCACCAAGGCGACGAUGCGUAGCCGACCUGAGAGGGUGAUCGGCCACACUGGGACUGAGACACGGCCCAGACUCCUACGGGAGGCAGCAGUAGGGAAUCUUCCGCAAUGGACGAAAGUCUGACGGAGCAACGCCGCGUGAGUGAAGAAGGUUUUCGGAUCGUAAAACUCUGUUGUUAGGGAAGAACAAGUACGAGAGUAACUGCCCGUACCUUGACGGUACCUAACCAGAAAGCCACGGCUAACUACGUGCCAGCAGCCGCCGUAAUAC